rnacentral:lncRNA from 1 species
GGCCCGGGAGGUGGGGCCGGUUAGGGCGAGGGUCCCCGGGAUCGUAGUGUCAGGCCUUGGGCCAACGUAGGCACUCGCAGUUCCUCCGCCUUCAGGAAGGUCUUUUUGGCAGGGGCCUUACGGGUGCGCGCUUCGGUCCUGGAGGCGUUAUCCUAGCCUCCUCUCCAUCAGCGCCACCCGUCUGGGGCCCGAUAGGAGGGAGCUUUCUGUCUGUCCCCCAGCCUUUGGACUGUCACCAAACAAGCCAUCCGUUCACCAAAUACUUAUUAAGCGCCUACCAUGUGUCUGGCAAGGGAGGUGUAACAGUGAGAAAAACUAGGUGUGGUCCAGGCCCUCCAGGGGCUCAGGGGCUCGUGGAAGAAGUGGACAUUGAAGUACUUACCACACAAAUGAGCAUGAAAGUACAAUAGCAAUAUCUGCCACGAAGGCGAGCAGACAGAGCUAGCAGGGCUUCCAGGAGGAGUUUUGAUCUUGCAGGGACAGGAAGGAGGAGUUAGCUCCUGGGGGGCGGGAUUGGGGGUGGUGGUGAUAUAGACGUGGGGACAGAGUGGAAAACAACAAAAAUAUAAUUAUUUUAGUUCAAAGUUAUUGUGUCUUGAGUUGAAAGGCAGGGCAGUUAGCGACACGGUUCAGAUUUCAGUACUGCCCCUGAAAUCUGAAUUGUGUUCAAAGUCUAAAACGUUUACCUUAGCAAAUCCCUCAUAAAACUCCAUUUGGAAGAGUCCCGAGAGCUAAUUUGUUAAGUAUACUUGCAGAAGGUAGAUGAGGAGACAGAUUAAAUCUUAUUACCUCUUUCAGAUGAGAGGCACUUGAGCCCUGCUCAGCCGUGAGAAUAAGAGGGGGAAUUAAUUCUAAUUGAAUACACUUGUUCUCUCACAGCUGUUGUUCCCCACCAGAACCAAAUGAGCGCAAGAUCUGACAAAGAAAAAAAAAGGUUCAUCUUUUAUUCCGCCAAACACUUUCAUCUAAAUCAAGAGGGUGGGAUGUGGUUAUUGCUGUGUUUUUAGACAGAAUCAACAGUUUCUGGGUCUGAGAUAUUGCAUACACCCUCUCAGUCCCUGUAUCCUCAGAUGGAGUCACCUGAGAAUCCACAGCAAGUCCUAACCGGGGAUGGGUCUGGGUGGUUAAGGAAGGUUGGCCUCAGAACUGGGCCAGGGGCACUGCUUUGCUUUUGCUGUUUUGAUCAGCUCUCUGCCCGCAGGAGACAAGGAAAACCAAUGGGAACAGCCCAGUAAAGGCGCCAUUCCCCAUUUUACAGCUGGGGAAACUGAGUUACAGAGCUUGUCUACACUGAGUCAACAGGAGCAAAUGCUAGAUCAGACAAGGUCUAGCUGGAGUACAGUGAUGCAGUCAUAGCCC